rnacentral:sRNA from 1 species
UAACCUCAUUUACAUCAUCACCUCCAGUC